rnacentral:tRNA from 1 species
GCGGCGUCGUGGUGGGCGGCGCCAUGCUGGCCUCCGGCGCCGUGACCGGCGGCGUAGUGCUGUUCCUGCUCUGCUCGGUGGGCGCCGCG